rnacentral:rRNA from 1 species
CUCCUACGGGAGGCAGCAGUGAGGAAUAUUGGUCAAUGGCCGAGAGGCUGAACCAGCCAAGUCGCGUGAAGGAAGAAGGAUCUAUGGUUUGUAAACUUCUUUUAUAGGGGAAUAAAGUGGAGGACGUGUCCUUUUUUGUAUGUACCCUAUGAAUAAGCAUCGGCUAACUCCGUGCCAGCAGCCGCGGUAAUACGGAGGAUGCGAGCGUUAUCCGGAUUUAUUGGGUUUAAAGGGUGCGUAGGUGGUGAUUUAAGUCAGCGGUGAAAGUUUGUGGCUCAACCAUAAAAUUGCCGUUGAAACUGGGUUACUUGAGUGUGUUUGAGGUAGGCGGAAUGCGUGGUGUAGCGGUGAAAUGCAUAGAUAUCACGCAGAACUCCGAUUGCGAAGGCAGCUUACUAAACCAUAACUGACACUGAAGCACGAAAGCGUGGGGAUCAAACAGGAUUAGAUACCCUGGUAGUCCACGCAGUAAACGAUGAUUACUAGGAGUUUGCGAUACAAUGUAAGCUCUACAGCGAAAGCGUUAAGUAAUCCACCUGGGGAGUACGCCGGCAACGGUGAAACUCAAAGGAAUUGACGGGGGCCCGCACAAGCGGAGGAACAUGUGGUUUAAUUCGAUGAUACGCGAGGAACCUUACCCGGGUUUGAACGUAGUCUGACCGGAGUGGAAACACUCUUUCUAGCAAUAGCAGAUUACGAGGUGCUGCAUGGUUGUCGUCAGCUCGUGCCGUGAGGUGUCGGCUUAAGUGCCAUAACGAGCGCAACCCUUAUCACUAGUUACUAACAGGUGAAGCUGAGGAUUCUGGUGAGACUGCCAGCGUAAGCUGUGAGGAAGGUGGGGAUGACGUCAAAUCAGCACGGCCCUUACAUCCGGGGCAACACACGUGUUACAAUGGCAUGGACAAAGGGCAGCUACCUGGUGACAGGAUGCUAAUCUCCAAACCAUGUCUCAGUUCGGAUCGGAGUCUGCAACUCGACUCCGUGAAGCUGGAUUCGCUAGUAAUCGCGCAUCAGCCAUGGCGCGGUGAAUACGUUCCCGGGCCUUGUACACACCGC